CCUACGGGUGGCAGCAGUGAGGAAUAUUGGUCAAUGGGCGUAAGCCUGAACCAGCCAAGUCGCGUGAGGGAUGAAGGUUCUAUGGAUCGUAAACCUCUUUUAUAAGGGAAUAAAGUGUGGGACGUGUCCUGUUUUGUAUGUACCUUAUGAAUAAGGAUCGGCUAACUCCGUGCCAGCAGCCGCGGUAAUACGGAGGAUCCGAGCGUUAUCCGGAUUUAUUGGGUGUAAAGGGGGAGUAGGCGGCCUUUUAAGUCAGCGGUGAAAGUCUGUGGCUCAACCAUAGAAUUGCCGUUGAAACUGGGAGGCUUGAGUAUGUUUGAGGCAGGCGGAAUGCGUGGUGUAGCGGUGAAAUGCUUAGAUAUCACGCAGAACCCCGAGUGCGAAGGAAGCCUGCCAAGCCAUGACUGACGCUGAUGCACGAAAGCGUGGGGAUCAAACAGGAUUAGAUACCCCUGUAGUC
rnacentral:rRNA from 1 species